GCUCAGGAUGAACGCUGGCGGCGUGCUUAACACAUGCAAGUCGAACGAAGCUGCUUAACUGAUCUUCUUCGGAAUUGACGUUUUGUAGACUGAGUGGCGGACGGGUGAGUAACGCGUGGGUAACCUGCCCUGUACAGGGGGAUAACAGUCAGAAAUGACUGCUAAUACCGCAUAAGACCACAGCACCGCAUGGUGCAGGGGUAAAAACUCCGGUGGUACAGGAUGGACCCGCGUCUGAUUAGCUGGUUGGUGAGGUAACGGCUCACCAAGGCGACGAUCAGUAGCCGGCUUGAGAGAGUGAACGGCCACAUUGGGACUGAGACACGGCCCAAACUCCUACGGGAGGCAGCAGUGGGGAAUAUUGCACAAUGGGGGAAACCCUGAUGCAGCGACGCCGCGUGAAGGAAGAAGUAUCUCGGUAUGUAAACUUCUAUCAGCAGGGAAGAUAGUGACGGUACCUGACUAAGAAGCCCCGGCUAACUACGUGCCAGCAGCCGCGGUAAUACGUAGGGGGCAAGCGUUAUCCGGAUUUACUGGGUGUAAAGGGAGCGUAGACGGUGUGGCAAGUCUGAUGUGAAAUGCAUGGGCUCAACCUGUGGACUGCAUUGGGAAACUGUUCAUACUUGAGUGCCGGAGGGGUAAGCGGAAUUCCUUGUGUAGCGGUGAAAUGCGUAGAUAUAUGGAGGAACACCAGUGGCGAAGGCGACGAUCUGGCGCAUAACUGACGCUCAGUCCCGAAAGCGUGGGGAGCAAAUAGGAUUAGAUACCCUAGUAGUCCACGCCGUAAACGAUGAGUACUAAGUGUUGGGGGUCAAACCUCAGUGCUGCAGUUAACGCAAUAAGUACUCCGCCUGAGUAGUACGUUCGCAAGAAUGAAACUCAAAGGAAUUGACGGGGGCCCGCACAAGCGGUGGAGCAUGUGGUUUAAUUCGAAGCAACGCGAAGAACCUUACCAGGUCUUGACAUCGAUCUAAAGGCUCCAGAGAUGGAGAGAUAGCUAUAGAGAAGACAGGUGGUGCAUGGUUGUCGUCAGCUCGUGUCGUGAGAUGUUGGGUUAAGUCCCGCAACGAGCGCAACCCCUGUUGCCAGUUGCCAGCAUUAAGUUGGGGACUCUGGCGAGACUGCCGGUGACAAGCCGGAGGAAGGCGGGGAUGACGUCAAAUCAUCAUGCCCCUUAUGACCUGGGCUACACACGUGCUACAAUGGACAGAGCAGAGGGAAGCGAAGCCGCGAGGUGGAGCGAAACCCAUAAAACUGUUCUCAGUUCGGACUGCAGUCUGCAACUCGACUGCACGAAGAUGGAAUCGCAAGUAAUCGCGAAUUAGCAUGUCGCGGUGAAUACGUU
rnacentral:rRNA from 1 species